UAUUGUCAUUAGUGAUUAUCUCAAUUUCGGCUAAAAGAAUUGACAAAAUCCUWCACACUGUGCCUUUAAAGCAUCAAAUGCUUAUUCAUCUUUGAUGCUCUCAGGGGCCACAUAAAAUGCUGCGGAGGGCCACAUUUGGCCCGUGGACCUUGAGUUUGACACGUGCAUUAGAUUGUCUCUAACCAGACAAACCUGCAUCCCUGUUCGCUCUCUGUCGGCUCAGUUCAAGAGUUUUUGUUUGUUUCGUCUCCACCUUUGUGUCGUGUUUUUAACUCCCCCUGACAUGUUUCAGACUCUGUGUUGAACGCYCGCAUGCAUGUGAACAGGAUGUCUGGUCAAACUAAUAUGUUGUUGCUGUUGAUCCAAAAUCAUUUUCAGGCAUCAUCCAGUCAGGCUGCAUCUGUAAACAACCCUAAAAUGAAGCACAGAGAUCGUUUUACAUUCUGUAAUGAAAAGAACAAAAAAAAAAACAAGAAAAUGUGUAUCAUGCAGCAAUGAUUCAAGUGUUAUGUUUUGCCCUCGUGUAAACUUUUGUCUCUUUUCUUUCACAUUCUCUCUGUCCUCCCGUCCUUCUCUUCAUCCUGUCUGUCCUCCUGCCUCACUCACCAGCUCUGGUCUGAGCGAUGGAUGGAGAGUGUUUUGUCCAACGUAGACCAGGCGGAUGAGUCCUGACUCUGGACAUGUCGAUGAAGACGACGAUGGAGUUGAAGAUGAAGACGGAGUCGUAUUUCUUGAAAACAUGAAGCACACUUAAAGGGAUAGUUCAGAUCUUCUGAAGUGGGGAUAUAUGAAAAUGUAAUAUUUUGAGUGUUGUAGGUAGCUCUUUGAAAAAUAGAGUUUAAUCCGGACCAGACGGAUGGGCUAAUGGCUAAUGUCAAAACCUCUUAAACAGCUCUAAACUCAAAAACUUAGAGUUAAACAUCUGAGCUGGUUCAGUGAGCAAUCUACAACAGGUAAGAUAUUUAUUAUUCAGAACCCCAUUUCAAUAGAUCUAAUCUGUCACUUUAUUUCUGAAUGUUUUUUUUUUUGUUUUUACCUCUAUGAGUGUCUAUUUUUGUGAUCUGGUUUUGAUUCACUUGUAUUUAUUUUAGGUUGAGCAUCAUGAUCUGCACACACUGCGUUCCUGUGAAUGUUGUUUUUUUUAAUUUAUUUKGUAGGUGUUUAAUUUUUUUGCUGUGUAGAAGUCUGUUUUCAAAAAGAAACGUCCUAAUGUAGGAUUUUAAUGAAGGGCAAUGCUGUAAUGCAAAGGGCUUAGUGUUCAUGAAGCGCGUCACUUUAGUCUGAGCCAAGAAACAAAAUGCACUAAACACAGACAGUUGAGUAAUUUAUAUAUGUAUAUUAUAUUUUAUUCAUUUCAAUUAAAAACAGAAAUUUCAAUAAAAAAAGGAAACAAAUCUCAUAAAAUGAAAGGAGUUUUUCAUUUUCAUCGGUAUUUUAUAUGACGUGCACUGAAAGGAAAAACUAGAAGAGAUUUGGAGAAUCUCAGGUUGAACAGCAGCACAUAAAACAGAUCAGGUAGGUGUAGUUAAUCUACAGAAACACAAGUAUUUAAAGUAUAUGUGUAAUGUACACAGCUGGCUGACAUGAUGAUGAUGAUAAACUAUGCAUUCACAAAACUAAAUUUGACCCAGUCACUGUCUUUUAUCUGAAUCAGAGCUCGAUUUCUACGUCCUCCUUCGAUUAUUUCCUACAAACUGCCUUUGCCUCUACUUUUGUAUCAUAAAGAACUUAUUUGAACUGAAUGUUGUUUUACUUCCCAACUUAGAGAAUUUGUGUCACAUUUGUAAAUAUUGUAUUUUAAAAAUAAAGAAAUUCUGCCAAUGAAAA